rnacentral:rRNA from 1 species
ACACGUCUACAUUAGAUACCCGUGUAGUCCAGCCGUAAACUAUGCGCGUUAGGUGUAUCGGUGACCACGAGUUACCGAGGUGCCGAAGGGAAACCGUGAAACGUGCCGCCUGGGAAGUACGGUCGCAAGGCUGAAACUUAAAGGAAUUGGCGGGGGAGCACCACAACAGGUGGAGCCUGCGGUUUAAUUGGACUCAACGCCGGGAAGCUCACCGGAUAGGACAGCAGAAUGAUUGCCGGGCUGAAGACCCUGCAUGACUAGCUG